UUUACACGGAUGAGUGCUUUGCCCGCAUGUCUGUGUGUCUGGUGCCCAAGGAGGUCAGAAGAGGAUUUGGAUCCCCUGGACCUGAAGCUAUAGACAGUGGUCAACUACCACGGAGGUGUUGGGAACCAAGCAUCUUAACCAUCUCCCCACUGUUUGCUUUGUUUUGCUUGAGAUAGGGUCUGACUCUACAACCUAGGCUAGCCUCAGACUCAUGGCAAUUCUCCUGCUUCUGCCUCCCAAAUGCUGCUGAGGUUAUAGGUGGUGUGUGUGUGUGUGUGUAUGUGUGUGUGGUUUGUGUGUGUGUAUGUGUCUGUCUAUCAUCUAUCUAUCUAAUCUAUCUAUCUAUCUAUCUAUCUAUCUAUCUAUCUAUCUAUCUACCAUCUAUCAAUUUUUCUAAAUCUAUCUAUCCAUGUAUCAUGUUCCUAUUAUCUCUAUUUUCUGUCAUCUAUAUCUAUCUAUCUAUCUAUCUAUCUAUCUAUCUAUCUAUCUAUCUAUCAUCUAUCACAUAUCACAUCUAUCUAUCUAUAGAUAUAUCUAUCCAUCUAUCUAUCUAUCUAUCUAUCUAUCUAUCUAUCUAUCUAUCUAUCUAUAGAUAUAUCUAUCUAUCUAUCUAUCAUCUAUCACAUAUCACAUCUAUCUAUCUACCUAUCUAUCCAUCCAUCUAUCUAUCUAUCUAUCUAUCUAUCUAUCUAUCUAUCUAUCUAUCACAUAUCACAUCUAUCUAUCUACCUAUCUAUCCAUCCAUCUAUCUAUCUAUCUAUCUAUCUAUCUAUCUAUCUAUCUAUAGAUAUAUCUAUCUAUCUAUCUAUCCAUCUAUCUAUCUAUAGAUAUAUCUAUCUAUCUAUCUAUCUAUCUAUAGAUCUAUCUAUCUAUCUAUCUAUCUAUCUAUCUAUCUAUAGAUAUAUAUGCCAGAUGAGGGAUUUGUUGUUGGCUGGGAAGUAUCCGAGUCUCCUUUAUGUGUUCAGUCUCAGUGUCUGGAAGCCUGACAGAGGAGUCCCCCACGAGCAGAGUCAAGUAUGACCAGGCAACACCAUCCUACAACCUCAGCUGACUGAAGACGCCCCUGGCUCAGCCUGAGAUCAUCCAGAUGACUUAUAAAAAUCAUGUUAUAAUCUGCUGCGUUGGGUUUGUUUUUUUUUUUUUUUGUAACUUUAAUCUCUUUUCAAUGUCUACUUUUAAUGAUGGCGAAGAUCAGAGAAGACUCGAGACUGACAAGCGCUGCACAGCUAGCUCUAUAAGCAAGCCGAGCUCAGCCCCAGCCACUAUCUCUCUCUAUCCUCCAAAUAUCAUGUGUCCUCCGAGGGUCUUGCCUCAGCUGACAUUACUCUGCCAAUGAGCCUGAGUCUGAGGAAGUGGCAGGAGGCUGCAGCAGACCACCAGACGUUUUUUUUGUUUUUGUUUUUUUAAAUGCAUUUCUCUCUAUGGAGUCCCAACAAAUGGAGCUCAACUACACACUGUAAGGCGGACCAGUACAUGCGUGUCAUUAGCAAAGAAUCCUUCAUCACUUGUCCUUUCACCUGCUUGCUUUAGCAGAACACCUUUUCUCCUAUGUCUGCUUCAGAGAAAAGUUCCUUCAUGAGUCUAUCUUACAGUCUUUCAUCUGUGUCCCCUUCAGGUAAACGUUCCUUGACGCGUUUGUCCCAACAAAACGACAUCCAACCAACUUUCCAAAGAACCUUUAAUUUUCCAAUUCUUUUUUUUUUAAUUUGUUGAUUUUUGUUUUUGUUUUCUUUCGUUCUGUUGAGACAGGGCUUCUCUGUGCAGCCCUGGCUGUCCUGCACUUGCUCUGUAGACCAGGCUGGCUUCAAACUCACACAGCUCUGCCUGCCUCUGACUCAAAAGUGCUGGGAUCAAUGGUGUGUACGAUCACUGCCCCACAAUGGGUUUUGAGGCAGUCUGUCACUUAGGAAUUCCAGUACAGAUAAAAAAAAAAAAAAAAAAAAGAAAAGAAAAAAGAAAGAAAGAAAAGAAAAUGAAAUAAGACCAAGCCAAGCAAAAAUCUUCAGUCUGAUUCAGAAUCUAAAAAAAUCCCCCCAAAAUUCUUCUCCUGCCAGACGAGAAGAUGUUACUCUUGGCAGUGGUGCAGAGGAAUCAGACAUUCUGACACACUGUGUGAAGUUUAGCAGGGGGCACUGGAGCAUUCCAACGUGGUGGAUCCUGAGGCAUACCGUUCCAAACUCCUCUCUGUAAGACUUAUACUGCAGAUGUCAGAGCACCAGGAUGAGCAUCCCUCAGGCUCCCACAGAGCUCAACUCCUAGACCUGAGUUGGAUUUUGCUAACCAACCCAGUUUUAGAAGACAGAAGAGGAAGCCACAUUUCUGAGUUUCGGCCAGCAGAGGCUGUCUUGACCUGCUGAGAUCGACUGGAACAUCCGCUGUUUCUGCCAACUGAACUGUAACAGAUGCAGAUCCAGUGACUGACACUUAAAACAACAGUGAGAUGAUGGCGGAGGCGGCGGCGGCGGCGGUGGCGGCUGACAAAAACACACAUACCUUCCGCUUCCGGGAAUUUUACCUUCCAGUUGUUCAGAGCACACGGAGAUGUGUUCACUCCAGCUUACAACGAUAUCUUGAAGAACCCCACACACAUUCUCGUGUUCACAGAGGCUAACACUUCAGUUUUGCUUCAGUAAAGCUGCUAAAAAGGACAAGAGCUGCUGGAGAGAUGACUCUGUGGUGAGAGCAUUCACUGCUAUUCCAGAGGACCCAAGUUCAGUUCCCCAGCAUCCGCAUCGGGUGGCUCACAAUGCCUCCAUCUCCAGCUCCAGAGUCAGAUACCCUACCCUUCUCUGGUUUCUUUGGGAACUCACAUGCACCUGCACCUGCCUAACGUGUGCACAAGCGUGUGCACACAUGUGCACGCAGGUACACACACACACACACACAUACACACACACACACAGGUACAGACGUAGAUUGUAUUAGUCAGGGUUUUCUCUGGAGUCACAGAACUUACGCGAUGUCUCUUUAUAUUGAGGGAAUUUAUUGUGGUGACUUACUGUCUGCAGUCCAACUAACCCAACAGUGGGCAGCUGUGAAUGGGAAGUUCCAGAAUCUAGCAGUUGCUCAGUCCCAGUUUGAACUGGUCUUCUGUUGUAGGUUCCAACAGAGGUGCUGGCAAGUAAAUGCAAGAAGGUGAAGAAGAGUGAAUCUUCUUUCUUCCAAUGUCCUUACGUGGGCCUCUGGCAGAAGGUGUGGCCCAGAUUAAAGGUGUGUACCACCAUGCCUGGAUCUGGGCCUGGCUUUGUCCCAGGCUGACCUGGAACUCUGAGAUCUCCUCCCCUCAGUCCCCUGGGAUUAAAGGUGUGUACUACCUCUCCUGGGCCUAAGAUUUUCAUGGCCACUGUGCCUCAAGAACUCCAUGCCAAGAUCCAGAAACUUGUGUCUCCCAGCCUCAAGAUCUGGAUCACGGGUGAGCCCUCCAAUUCUGAAUUGUCAUUUAUUCCAGAUCUAGUCAAGUUGACAACCAGGAAUAGCCAUCACAGAUACCCUACCCUUUUCUAGCUUUGGGUACUCAUAGGCACGGGCACCUGCUUCACACAGGUACACACGCCCGCACCCACGCCUGCGUGCACAGACAGACAUAUAUGAAAUAAGCAAGGAGGGAAAGAAUCGCAAGUUCUUCGACUCCAUCCCAGGCCUGAGGCUGUGCUGCCUGAAAGGCUCCCAGUGGGCAUCUGCAAACCUCUAUGGAUGUUUAGUACCUCACUUCCUUCUCCUUCUAUGUCCACGGUGAGCCCUCAGUCUCUACUUGUUGCCGACAAGUAAACAGAAGCAACUGGAAGACCCCCCUUCUAUUUCCUCCAGCAACUUCCCCUCUCUUUACUGGGCAGAAGCCCUUGGUGCUGACAUCAACUUCCCACUCCUUCUGUCAGCAAGAUACUCCACGCAGUGUCUGGGGAACAGUCCGCAAGGGUGGUGGCUUCUCUUGGGAACCUGCUGGAAAUUAGACUCUUGGGGGCCCUCAAAUUAGAUUUAUAUUUAGCAAGACCAGGUGCCUCAUGAGUACAGAUCCUGCUUGGGAUCUCACACCACCACGAUGACACCUCUUUUUUUUUUUUUUUCCAACAUAUUUCUACCUUUUCUCACCAUUCGAACUGUAAAUGCAAGCUCCUCUAAUUAAAGAAAAUGUGCCUGCA